GAAGAGGUUCAAGCGGAGGUGACCGGACACCCCCCACCCGCCCGGCUUCCGCGCUUGGCCCCACGAGAGGAGCGCGAGAACUGUCGUGGAUCACGGGCAAUGGCUGAUGACAUUCACCGCGUUGUUUACUGUGGCUUCUAGCGCGUCAUCCAUGGCUGCUCGGCUUAUCUACUGACUAAUUCUAACCAUCUCCUUCGAUGGCUUCUCAGGGAGGGAGAGGAGAAGAGCAGAAAGAGAAUCAUCAUCUAUUUACAGGACGGAUUUCAUCUCCUAAUUCCAGGAGAGACCAUUCUCGGCGCCUCCAGGUACAUAUUAUUCUUCACCUUGUCGAUGAAUUCCUCGAAUCUUCUGUUCCAUUCGUCGGUAUCAUCCUCCACUUGUCGCCGUGGUUCCUCCUCCUCCUCAUCAUCUUCUUCUUCUUCUUCUUCUUCUUCUUCUUCUUCCUCGUCUGAUCCUGCAAAUUUUUCUUGGACGAAAGCUGCCGGAGGGUUGACGCCCCUUGAGGAGGUCGCUUCGAUCUCCGGCCGGCGGGGGGGGUCUCUCUUCACCGAGAGACCGCCUAGGGGAUCGCCGCCGGUCAAGUACCCCAUCAGACCAGAGUCCUUGAUGACGAUGAUGAGAAUAGCGUUGCAGAUGAGGAACACAGUCGUCGUGUCGACGGAGGGGACCUCCGGGAGCCAGGCGAGGAAGGGGGCCAUGUCGAAGCUCUCCGGGUGCAGAGACAGAGCCCACUGAGCCACGGCCACCAUCAGGGAGACCGAAAUGAGAGAGAUU
rnacentral:lncRNA from 1 species